rnacentral:lncRNA from 1 species
UGUAAUGGCAGCAUAACACCUGGUUCAAGCAAACGAUUGGUGCUGGCUAACCUCAGUAACAAGUUUUGUGUUAUCAACAAUGGAGAGAAGACAUACAACGAACUUGAGGAAAAAAGACAUGUUCUCAGUUGAUGAUUAAUUGCUUGGGAGCAUAAAACCAACCAAAGUUUCUAUGCACUGGGAGAAUGUUUGUAUAGGUUAGAGCAUAGAAUUCACACAGUAUGGUCCUAUUUAAACACUAAAAUAUAUUACAUAUAUAGACAUCACUUACAAGACAUACAUAAUCACUGAGAGCGAGCCUCAUAAUCUUCCCCUUCAAGCUUUUCAUAAUCUUCUUCCUGUCCUGAACUGAAAUGCAUUAUCGUGUUAAAUAGCAAAAGCACAUUGAAAAUAAGCAAGAAGGAAAAUACUACUGAAUAUGCACCGUGAGGAGGCUCCAAUGUGCUUCUGCCAUUUAACACAGUAAGCAAACUUAAUCGGAUUUACACAUAGUUUGAGAGGAUGAGUAUUAUGAACAUUGGAAAUACUACGGAAUAUGCAGCACGCUCUAGAUCCGUGGUUCAGUCUUUCAGUUCAUAGAUUCCUAGGUUCAUAGAUUCGAACAUUCAAUCUUUACAAUCAGCAGUACUUCUAGAUUCACAUAUUCGAAGAUUCAAUCUCUACAAUCAGCAGUACAUCUAGAUUCACAUAUUCAACGGAUUUUCUAGGGAACGAACUGUCCACCGGGUUCCAUAUUAAAUUAGCCCACAUCCAUACUUUGGCAGACUGUAUUUCUUACUUAGCAGCACAAGCAUACUAGAUCUUCGCAUGAUCUUGCUGAGAGUCAGUACAGCUUUCCAGUUUACUCAGUGGCUGGCCUUGCUGCUAGUUGCUGCAGUAAGGCACUCCUAGCAUGACCCCUCUGAAUUGAGCAAGCAGACUGCAAAAGAAUCCUAUCGGCUCUGACUGUACUAUUUCUUCAGUCAAGCCAACUACUUUAUUCAGAAAUCGCUGCAUGUUCGAUGGGGCGAAGUUGUUUGUUCACUAACCUCUUGUUCCAUCCGGGCACCAAUGAUUCAUCUCCC